UUAUCUCUCUGGUAGACAGAGCUCACACUUUCACUUGCCUUACCUAGCUAGACAUUUUAACGAAGUUCUGUGCCUGUAUAUAGUCCACUCUACCAUGCAUGCUCCUAAUGAGCCUUACUGGUUUGUGACACCUGUGAUAUCAUCUGCAGUAUCAUGGCCUGUGCUCAACAAUGCAGGGCUAGCCACGACUCCUUUUGUUCAAGAGUGACUGAAAACGUUAAAGGGCUCAGAAGAAUGAAUAUAGAACAUGGCACUGAGGAAUACCUAUAUGGACAGCACAUGAGACAAACCUCCUGUUACUGUAUAGGUAAGGAGCUUUUUAUAAAUGUGUUCGUCUAUUCUCACCCAGGAAAUGCUCUUACCGCUACUUCAAGUAUUGGAGAAAUAAGAGCACCUGUCUCGUUAAAUAACUGAACCCACUUUCAAGAAGCCACUUCUCAUGGGACAUCUGUACUAUUAUUUCGCAGAAGGCACUGAGGUUAUAAAGUUCUAUAUAGGAUUCAAUGAGUAAAGGUACUCCAGCAAACUACUCGGCUAGCAAUGGGAUGGCUUUUUACCUUCCCUGUGAAAGUUAAAGGUAACCUUGGAGAUCAUCUACAGCCUUUUGUCCCCUUCAAAUAAAUGCUUUAUGUGCAAUAAAACUACACAAGUUAACCCCAUCAUGAUUAAAAUGAAGCUUUUGGAAAAAAGACAGCCACGGCAUCUCCUGAAGAGGAGAUCUGAUGUAGGAAUUUAAGGUAAUUAUUCCUUGUUCUGCUAAGCCCACCACCUGAGCUCAAGUCUCCACAGUGGAUCCAGACUGAUCAUCCCCAAGAGCCAACAGAAAAUGUCUCUCUUCAGUUCAUUCCUUCACCUUGAAUAAUAAGCCAUGGCCCAGAGCUAAGUUUAAAUGCCAACAGGUUGGGCAUUUUCCAUUAAGAAAAAGUGAGCACAGACAUACACCACUGACAGCUGAGCAGUGCUUACACAGAGUCAAGGCCUUUUCUGCCUCACACACCCCCCCCACACCCCGCCCCCCCCAGUGAGGGGGCUGGGGGUGCAUAAGGAGUUGGAAGGGGACAACUGGGACAGCUACCCCAACUGACCACAGGGAUAUCCCAUACCAUAUGGCAUCAUGCUCAGCAUAUAGAGCUGG